rnacentral:rRNA from 1 species
GACGAACGCUGGCGGCGUGCCUAAUACAUGCAAGUCGAGCGCUGCCGUCUGGUACUUGUACCAACUGGAUGAUCAGCGAACGGGUGAUUAACUCUUGUGGAAUCUGGCUUUGAGCGGGGGACAACAUUAGGAAACGAAUGCUAAUACCGCAUAAAAACUUUAAACACAAUUUUUAAGUGUGAAAGUUGCAAUUGCGUCACUCAAAGAUGAUCCCACGUUUUAUUAGCUAGUUGGUUGGGUAAGAGCAAACCAAGGCGUGGAUCGGUAACCGACCUGAGAGGGGGCGCGGCAUAGUUGGGACGGGGACACGGCCCAAAACACUACGAGAGGCAGCAGGAGGGAAUCUUCAGGAGUGGAAGAAAGUCUGACCGAGAAACGCCGGGUGAGUGAAGAAGGUUGUCGGAUCGUAAAAGUCUGUUGGGAGAGAAGAUCGUUGGUCAGAGUGAACAGCUAAUAAAGUGACGGUAACAACACAGGAAGGGACGGCUAACUACGUG